rnacentral:rRNA from 1 species
UACGGGAGGCAGCAGUGGGGAAUAUUGCACAAUGGGCGCAAGCCUGAUGCAGCCAUGCCGCGUGUAUGAAGAAGGCCUUCGGGUUGUAAAGUACUUUCAGUCGUGAGGAAGGUGUUAAGGUUAAUAACCUUAGCAAUUGACGUUAGCGACAGAAGAAGCACCGGCUAACUCCGUGCCAGCAGCCGCGGUAAUACGGAGGGUGCGAGCGUUAAUCGGAAUUACUGGGCGUAAAGGGCACGCAGGCGGUUAAUUAAGUUGGAUGUGAAAUCCCCGGGCUUAACCUGGGAAUGGCAUUCAAGACUGGUUAGCUAGAGUCUUGUAGAGGGGGUAGAAUUCCAUGUGUAGCGGUGAAAUGCGUAGAGAUGUGGAGGAUACCGGUGCGAAGGCGGCCCCUGGACAAGACUGACGCUCAUGUGCGAAAGCUGGGGAGCAAAC